UUGUCCAGGGGGCCGCCUUCGCCACCGGUAUUCCUCCAGAUCUCUACGCAUUUCACCGCUACACCUGGAAUUCUACCCCCCUCUACAAGACUCCAGCCUGCCAGUUUCGAAUGCAGUUCCCAGGUUGAGCCCGGGGAUUUCACAUCCGACUUGACAGACCGCCUGCGUGCGCUUUACGCCCAGUAAUUCCGAUUAACGCUUGCACCCUCCGUAUUACCGCGGCUGCUGGCACGGAGUUAGCCGGUGCUUCUUCUGCGGGUAACGUCAAUGAAUAAGGUUAUUAACCUCACUCCCUUCCUCCCCGCUGAAAGUACUUUACAACCCGAAGGCCUUCUUCAUACACGCGGCAUGGCUGCAUCAGGCUUGCGCCCAUUGUGCAAUAUUCCCCACUGCUGCCUCCCGUAGGAGUCUGGACCGUGUCUCAGUUCCAGUGUGGCUGGUCAUCCUCUCAGACCAGCUAGGGAUCGUCGCCUAGGUGAGCCGUUACCUCACCUACAAGCUAAUCCCAUCUGGGCACAUCCGAUGGCAAGAGGCCCGAAGGUCCCCCUCUUUGGUCUUGCGACGUUAUGCGGUAUUAGCUACCGUUUCCAGUAGUUAUCCCCCUCCAUCGGGCAGUUUCCCAGACAUUACUCACCCGUCCGCCACUCGUCACCCGAGAGCAAGCUCUCUGUGCUACCGUUCGACUUGCAUGUGUUAGGCCUGCCGCCAG
rnacentral:rRNA from 1 species